CCUGGGUGGGUGGCUGACGGCCGUGACUGCUUGCAGAAAGCAGAGAAUAGCAUGAGUGUUGUAUCUGGGAAGAAUGAGCUUGCAUGGAUGUGUGUGUAUGGCACCUGAUGGAGGGCGGGGAUACCCACUACAAGUGUCUCUUGUGAUGUUGCUGCUCAGCUUUACUGGUGACCUGUGCAAGACUAGGACCUGGGCCUAGAACCUGUCCUUCCUCAUUUGGUCCAGGUUCACCUGUGAUGUGACCAAGACCAUGCUGUUUUGGACUGAAGACAAGUAGCUGGUCCACGUGCUUUACUUCUGAAAACAAGCCAUCAACCUCCAUCAGUCCUCCAUACAUACCUUCAGAGCCAAGAAAAAGCAAUUACCCUUCAGAGCUGAUGUAAGGCGACCUUCUGGAGACGUGCUUGGACUGCCUUGGUCAUUUCCCAGUCCUGAGCCCAACUGCUACGGCUGCCUCUGGAGCAGAGGCACAUGCA